rnacentral:misc_RNA from 1 species
AAGUCGUAACAAGGUAUCCGUAGGUGAACCUGCGGAUGGAUCAUUACAAAAGUGACCAAGCACUGAGAAGUCUGUAGUGUAAAACUCGACUUUGAAGUCUUGUGUCCAUCCACACUUUGUGAACUGUUGACGUCUCUGGCAGUCCUCUGCUACUUGCUCAAUUGAACUUUGUCCUUUGUCGCAAGACAAUUUAUUAAGUUCUUUGAAUUUUAGUAGAGGCUGCCGAUGGGCUCUGCUCAUCAAAAUUUUAACUCUACAAUUUAACCUAUGGUCUGAACUUUUUCAUAAAUUAAUGUGAAAACAACUUUUGACAACGGAUCUCUUGGCUCUC